rnacentral:misc_RNA from 1 species
AGCAAACAAAGGGGGAAAACAAUUGAAGGAAAGGAAUGAACUUUGGUCAGCUAGAUGCUAUGAGCCAGCAGUGACGGUCGAUAGAUUAGGCCACCAUCUGCUCCUGCUCCGACCACUGCGCAAAUAUGUCGCCGGCGUGGCCGUCCUUGACAAGAGAGUUCACCCACGAGACGUCUGGCUCGGCGGGAGCCGGCGCGGGGGCCGGGGACUGCCCACGGAACGCGAAAGACGCGGACUUGCGGAACUUGUGCAGCUCGUCGCCCUGGACGCCCCAGUCCAGCCUGCCGUCCGGAGACCCCCAGUCGGAGAGCAUGGACGGCGCGCCGGCGGUGGGCUGCUGCGACAUGAGCGAGCGCGCGGCCGGCGCGCGGCCGCCGCGGUCGAUGAAGCUCUGGCUGCGCUUGGCGAACGCCGAGGCGCGGGAGCUCAUGAUGGCCUUGGCCAUGGAGUGGUCGAGCCCGAACGCGGAGUUCGGGCCGACCAUGGGCGACGCCGGCAUGUGCAGCUGCGUGUCCGCCAUGGAGCUGUACGCCGGCAUGUCGCCGGCCUGCUUGAGCGACAGCGCGUGCAGCUGGGACAGCAUGGCCGGGUCGACGGAGCCGAGCAGGUCCGCGUAGUCCGGCACGGCCCUGGUGCUGGGCGCCGCGGCGGGCAGCGGCGAGCCCAUCCCGCCUCCCCAGCCGGCCCUCGGCGACGACACCUUGUCGAACAGCUUCUGCUGGUACUGGUCGAGCGCGAGCAGCUCGAGGUCCAAGUCCAGCUCCCGGCCGGCGGCGAGCGCGGUCUUGAGCCUGCUGGCCGGGGAGGAGGGCCAGGCCGGGUUGAGCAUGGCGCCCAUGUCGAGGCCGUUGGGCGGCGAGGAGCGCGGCGACGAAACGGUGGGCUGCAUCCCGACGGAGACCGCGGACGGGUUGACGGCGCGCAGCUCCUCGGGCUUGUGCGCGAAGAAGCAGAUGCGGCGCGCGCAGCCGACCUCGUCCUUGCAGAGGCGCGUCCGGUACUGCGCCGGGUGGAGCCAGCACUCGAAGACGCCGUGCGCGUACUCGCAGUUGUCGCCCUUGCGGCAGGCGCCGCCCUUGCGGAACUCCGGGCAGGGGACGCAGCUGUAGGAGAAGCGGCGCGGGUCGCGGCGGCGCGCGUUCUCGCCGGGGUGCACGAAGGGGCACUCGGUCCAGUCGUGGGAGUAGGCGCGCGAGCAGGGCUUCACCUUGAAGCUGUACAUGCGGAACUCGUCGGUGCUGAAGAGCCCGCUCUUGAGGUCUGGGAGCGUGAGGUCGGGCGGGUACUCCUUCCUCGGCUCCGGCGCCGCAGCUGCCGCCGUCGGCGGUGGCGGCGAGGCGGACUUCUUGGGCGAGGACGACGGCGACGCCGCGGGGGACUUGAGGAGCACGCGGAGCGCGCGGUCCCUGUCGGCGGCGGCGUUGGCGCGCGGGAGGAGGUCGCCGGCGCGGAGGCCCGAGAAAGCGAGCGCGUCGGCGGACGCGCCAGCGGCCAGGAGCAGGUGCGCGGCCG